rnacentral:lncRNA from 1 species
GGUGAAGUACUUGCAGAUAGCAAAGAAGAGCAAAACUGCCAACCCGUAUCGGUGGGUGAGAUAUGUGACUCAGGCUAAUUCUUAUGUUGCUCGCAUUUGAAAAUAGUCGUGCUCCUUUUCAUUUCUUAAUUUUCUUCAUCGCAUGUUUACUACAAUUGAGAUCCAUUUUAUAGAUAGUUUUUCCCUUACGUUCUUCCUUUUUGUCGCAUUGUAUUUAGAAUAUUAGUAACCUACCAGGUGUGGUUACUUAUCGACUUAUUGUGCUACCUAUAAAUCUAUACAAUUUGCCAUUUGUGUUGUUGUACAUGUAAAGUGAUAAACUGCCUGAAACAAACUCGUGCGUAUAAAAAAUCAUACUCACUCAAUCUUACAAAAAUAUGAAUAAUUGAGAGUAACACAUUUAUUAAGAAAUGCUAGUUGAGAGUUAUCGUGAAUGGAAAAUGAAUCAUAAUUUAUAAGUGUUAUGAGAGUAAUGAGUUAAUUGAGGAAAAGUUGUGGUGGGUUAUGAUGGGUUUUUUGUGAAUAAGUAUCAAAAAAGAAGGAUAAAAAAAAUAGUGUACAAAAAUAAAAAUGUUCAUAUUUUUGUGGGACGUUUUAAAAUGACAAAUUGUUCAUGUUUUUGUGAGACAAUUAGAUAAUUUACUGUUGGAAUUCUUGUGUUCUUCAUGCAAAAUACUGUAUAUUGUCCUAAUGUAUACAUAUCUUUUCAAAAAAUUUAAAUCUAAUUUUAUACUCUUUAUGUCCCACCAAUUAGUCCCCUUUCGUUUUUCACAAAUAUUAAGAAAAUGCAUUUAAUCUUCUUUAAAAUAAAUAAAUACUAAUUUUAUAUUUUUAUUUUUUUAUAUUUUUAUUUAUUAUUUUCACACAUUAUUUUCGCAUUUAAGUGAAAUAUUAAAUAAGAUUAGUUUAAUAAAACGAUAUUUUUAUAUAAUAUGAAUUAAAAAAUAAAUUAUCUUUUUAAGACAUCCAAAAAUAAAAUAGAAUAAGUGAUUUAUUUCGUGGGAGACCGAGGGAGUAUUUAAGUGUCACAAAAAUGUUUCCAAAGUAAAUUUCCGGGGAAAUUCCGAGGUGAAUGCGCUUACAUAUUUAAAUUUUUCUUUAUUUUUAUUAACUUUACCUUUAUUAUAGUUAAUCUCUCAUCUAUGGUUAGUACUUGGAAAUUAUACCUAUGAUUUCUGAAAAGCGACAGCAGGAGUCUCCAUAAUUAGAAAUUAUAUUUUGAAACAUAGAUGGGGCCCAUUUUCCCAUUGCCACUUGGCUUUUCCCUGUGUUCUAACUUCUGCCAAUGUUUCCUUCUCUUUUGUUCUUAGUUUUUCUCUGUCCAAAUUUCGCAGAGCCAUUUAUGAAUUUUUUUUGUAGUUCAAUGUGGCUUCUUUAUUAAUUUAUAGAAGUUCUGUUUAAAAUAUUUUAGGGUGAUAUGAAGUUUGAUUUGAAUAUGAAGUUGGGCUGAGUUGGAGUUGCCUAAUAUAAUUAGCGAAGAAGAUGGAAGUAUCUAAUAGAAUUGCUAAACCAUUUAAUCUUUCUUACAAUAUAUACGAUCUUAAAUAUGUCUUCAACAAUAUUAACUUUGAGAAACUCCUCUCAACUAAAGCUAUAGUAUUAUACAUAAUCAACAAAAUCCUAUAAGUUAUAGUAACAUUUGGAUAACAAUCUGCAAUUUUCAUAACUUCAAUAGUUGACAUUAUCUUAUUUGAUAAUGUUAUUUAUAAUAUUUGUAAUUCAGUAAAUAAAUUAUUUAAGUCAACAUCGAAUAUAUUAUCACGAGUAAAAGUAGAUUUCAAAUUUACGCAACAAUGUCUUAAUUUUUCACUAUUCAAAGAUUUUAAAAUUUUUGAAUCAAACAAAAAAGUAAAUAUAUGAUCAAAUUAUUUCAAUUAUUCAAAAUCUACAUUUUAAAGAAGCAAUAGUCAUAUCCACAACAACUACAAAAUAUUCAAUUCUAAAUGACUCUUCGAGUGAUAAUGAAACUUCAUCACUUUCUCCCUCAUCAAAUAAUUCCUUUCGUCCUUCAAACAUCUUUCUCUUUUUUCAUUUUAAUCCGUCCCCAAAACAUCUUCCUAACCUACUUUGAAAAUAAUUGCACUCAGUAUUACUCUUACAAUCUUCAUUUUUUGUGGAACUCAUUCUCCACUCAUAAAAUACACAAAUAACUUUUAUUAAAACUCGUGUUAUCCUCCCUUAGAAAGAUGUUUGGGGGACAGAGGGAGUAUUAUUUUCUAGGGUUAAUAGUGUUUUAUGUCCCGAACUUUCAGCGUUUUUCACAAAAUGUCCCAAACUUUCAUUUUCUCCUAAAAAACCUCGAACUUUCAAUUUUUUCCCAUAAAAUGUUCCAUUAUACAAAAUUCGGUGACAAAAAGAUGAACUAUCUAGCCGAAAGAAAUAUUUUGGGGAUAGCCAUUAUUGGAAAAUCAUAUUGGGAACCACCAUUGUUGGAAAACGCUGAAUGUUUGAGGCUUUUUAUCAUCUUUCCGUCAUCGAAUUUUAUAUAGCGAGACAUUUUAUGGAAAAAAUUGAAAGUUCAGGAUUUUUUAGGAGGAAAUGAAAGUUCGAGACAUUUUGUGGAAAACGCUGAAAGUUCGAAACAUAAAACAUUAUUAACCUAUUUUCUAGUAAUACAACAUUUUGUUAGAAUAUUGGCUAUAUAUUCAUAUUUGAUGCAAGAUUCUUAACAAUAAUCAAACUUGUAUCAAAAACCUGCAUUCCUAUACUUUUCAAAAAAAUGAUAUUAGACCUUUCAAUUAUUUUAUGAUAGAGUCAAUUAACAUAGAUUUUUAUUGUAACUUAUUACUCACCAUGUUUAUAGCAAAUAAAAUGUCAUGCCAAAUCAUCAUACCAAGUAAAAAUUCGAUAUUUGUAAUUAAUGCAACUAAAUUUUCAGGUUCACUUUUCGACUUUGCAUCAUUACAAAUAUCACAUAAUUUUAAUAAAACAUCUCUCAAUUCAACAGAUUGAAAUCUAAUUGCUCGAACACUUUUAAUACGAAUUUCGCAACGUUUACUUUUAACCAAAAAAAAAAAUCUAAUCAUGCUUACUACUCAAACCACAACAAUUACAUAAAAUAAAAACUUGAUAUAGCUCAAAUCAAAGAAUCAAUAAGAUAAUAAUCGAUUAAUAAAAGAACAACACCUGGAUAAAUUUUAAGUCUAUAAUAAUAAUGUAUUUACUCCCUUCGACCACGAUAUCAUUUUCACUUUUGCUAUUUUGGUCUAUCCACAAUAUCAUUUUUUACUUUCAAUCAUAAUAAUAGUACAAUAUCAUUUUUUUACUUUCAAUCAUAAUAAUAGUAGGGCCUACAAACUCCACUCACAACAAUGAUGGGUACCAAACUCCACUUACAACAAUACCCACGACUAUCCUUCAAUUUCUUAAAACAUGUGCCGUCCACAAAGUGAAAACGAUAUCUUGAAUAGAGGGAGUAUAAGAUGUGAAAAAAUUUAAGUCUCAAAAAAUAAUAGGCCGUGGGUGGCCCGCCCUCAGAGAUGGCCUUGUAUGUAUGUAAGUCUUUCAGCAACCUCUGUGAGUGAAGGGACAAAGGAUGGAUGUUUGUAGGAGAAACAACUCAUUAGAUGCAUUUGUUUGUAAGUAUGAAGAAAGAGUUGAGGUCACGUAUUGCCUAUGGCUAAUUUGUUGCUCACACAUGUGAAUACUAGGAAAGUAUUCAGAUGUUUUGAUGAAAAUGUGAGGAACUAUCAAAUGUUGUAGGUUCACGGAUUAGUUGAAGAAUGUGAAUGUUAUUCUAUAGUCUUUUAUAUUGAAAAUAUGGACCAACAAGAAUACAUGUUUGUUAAUCAAAUUAUGUAUUGCAUGGCAUCUUCAACGAACGAUUAUCCAAGUUAACAGCCAAAUGAGGCCUUCAUGGAUUAUGAGAAUAUCUUCAGUUGUAUCCAUUUAANAUCACAUGUUUACUACAAUUGAGAUCCAUUUUAUAGAUAAUUUUCCUUACGUUCUCCUUUUUGUCGCAUUGUAUUUAGAAUAUCAGUAACCUACCAGGUGUGGUUGCUUAUCGACUUAUUGUGCUACCUAUAAAUCUAUACAAUUUACCAUUUGUGCGACAUGUAAAGUGAUAAUUGGGAGUGACAUGGGUAUUUAAGAAAUGUUAGUUGAGAGUUAUCGUG